CAGAGCCAGGGCGUCUCCUUCUCCCUUCUUUCCAGCGGCCCAUGAGGCUGCGUCGUGUGGGUCUCAUUGAGAAAGCCACGAAACCACGGAAAGGGAGAGCACGAGCACCUGGAGGAGCGAGACCCCAAGGACCUCGCUUUGGCCGGGAGGGAAAACCACCACGGUGUAGCAUCCCCAUCGGCGAUGCUCACACCAUGGGGACACGGAGCUGGAUGUCCCCAGGCUCGCCAGGGCACCAGCAUUGAGGGGACACUCGGUGCGCCCGUGGGUGCCCGCUCCCUGCCACCAGGCUGUUUUGCAGCGCUCCCAUCCCCAGCCAAGGCAGGAAUGCCAGGAAUGCGAAAUCCCGGCAUAACACCCCCCCCCCGCGUCCCCGUCCCGUCGCAAGAACAGGAUAUUCGCCUGAGCAACAUCCACUCACACACGCCUCGCUAUCAGGAAAAAACACUCAGUCAGCGUCUGGAAGGGGCCGAUGGGCUGCCCGGCCGCCGGGGCUUCCGCGUGGGGAGGGAGAGCGGGGCCGCGUGGGAUCCUUGGCCGUGGGGGGCCGUGGGUGAGCACCGGCAGCAGCCGGGGGAAUCCGAAAUUUGGGGAUUUGUCCUCGUGCUUGAGCCGCCUGGCUUCUCGCAAAGUGACCCCGGGGGGCUCCUUUGGUGGGUGCCCCAAGCGGUGCCAACACAUCCCGCUCCCAGCACGGGCUCCGCAAACCCAUCCUGUCCCAGGGCCGGUGAGUCAGCCGGCAGCAAUGCGCGCGGCCUUUCCAUUCUGACUCACCCCGCUGCCCGCCGCUCCCCUCUGCCCCACGAAGCCCCCCCCUGUGCCCCCCGUGAUGUAACCCAGGCCCCGGUGGCCGUGGUGGUGGCGGUGGCGGUGGGGCAGGAGGGAAGCGUGGUGGAGCAGAGUGCUCGGGCAGCCCCCGUGCCAAAACACAGGAAGCACGCCGAGAAGUCACCCCGCGAAUUGUCAGCUC